UCAACUUUAAUUUCCUUAUUUGCUGUCCUC
rnacentral:piRNA from 1 species